rnacentral:lncRNA from 1 species
AAAAAUGUGAACUGAAUUUGCCUCUGCUCUGCUUUUAGAGGCACAAGGGUAUGCUUUCACAUGAGUAGACAUGCUAUCUAUGCCACGCAAGCUAUGUUAGUUUGAAUUGACUCAGACUACAUGAAUCCAAACUAGUGUGCUGCAUUCAACGCCUCUGAGAUUUAUUUGGAGUAAAAGAUCUGUGUCAGUCUAUGCACCAGAGCUCUUUUUCUUUCUCUUCCUUCACUCUUCAUGCACAUUUCAAGCUCUAUGGAAAAAUCUUAUGACAAGACACUUUCAGCUCAGCCAACUACAUCCAGUAUGUCCUGUGGCCAGGAAGAAAAGGAAAUUUCUUAAACUAUAUGAAGAAGUACCAUCUCUAAAGAAGU